rnacentral:RNase_P_RNA from 1 species
GCAGACUCCCGGCUUUGUCGCUGGUCUUAUGAAAGACGAGAGGAAAGUCCGGGCAACAGAGAGCACUCCACUUCCGAAAAUAGAAGCUAUUGGCGACAAUAGGGUAAGGCAGAAGAGAAUGACCGCCCGAUACAAUACUGAACUUCGCAAGGAGAACAGGCAAGUCGGGUGAGGGUGAGAAGGUGGUGUAAGAGACCACCGGGCAGUGGGUGAUCACUGUGCCGUGCCGCUGGAGGUUGCAAGUUCAUGUAUACCAUCGCCUGAGGGCUGCUCGCCCGAAGCUUUGCUGCGAUGGAGGGUAGAAUGCUUGAGGCGCAGGGCGACUUGCGCAGUAGAUAAAUGAUGAAGCUCCUCUUUGAGGAUACAGAACCCGGCUUAUCAGGAGUCUGCUUUC